rnacentral:lncRNA from 1 species
UGAGGUGUGCAUGCCAUGCUCUUGCCAUUCUUCUAUGCAUACACAUAAAGUGUUCGAUGAAAUGCCCAAGCCACACUUAAGCUUUCUCCUCUCCAAGCUCGACAUCUCCGAGCUACAUUUUCCUCAAGAUUUGUCUAGGUUUGACGAUGCACCAACUACACAAGUGUUUUAAAGGCUACUUCAUUCUUUCAUCUCUUACUGCUAGUUUAGCUCAUUUCAAAUGCUUUAGAAGUAGACUGGUUUGUGAGUUUUAGUAUAGGAGUGUAUAUGAUAGUUCUUUUGAUUUUGAUGCAAAAUUUGAGCUUAGAUUAACUUCUUAGAGUCUGCACAUGUGUAGGGUGUCGUCCCGUGCUCGUCCUCACCGUUGUCGACCGCUCGCGCCGAUCUCGUCGCGAGCACCACCGUGGUGAGCCUCUUGUUCUUAUCUUUUUUUAAAGAAAAAAAUUUCUUACUUGUACGAUUUAGAUAGAUACUUGUAUAAAUUAAUUACUUUUAUUAUUUUUAUUAUUAUAUAGUGUGAUGGUUUUGGUAUCCGUCUCCGUUGGCCCUCGUCCUGUCUAUGAUUCGGAUGUGGUAUAUAUUAUUUUUUAUAACUAUUUGUUUUAUUUAAUGUUUAUGACAGUUAUGACGACCAACGUGACAUAGAUUUUUUAAUCUAGGAGGUAUGUGACCAACCGACAUAGAAAUUCUUGUCGAAAAGUUAAAUUUGGUUGAAAAAGAAAACAAUUACUUGAAGAAAAAAUUGAAAAUAAUUGAGAAGAAGAAUAUGAAACUGGAGUUGCAUGUUGCCGAUGUCGUCGAUGAUCACAAGAUGAAGAUGGAUGCAAUACGGUUGAAGAUGGAUGCAAUGCGCUUGAAGAUUAGGAAUAUUAGAAAAUAUGCCAUUGAUAAAGAGGCUUGGUAUCAUUAUGUUGUUGGG